GUGCUUACUUUGGCAGCAGAUAUACUAUAAUUGGAAUACAGAGAAUAUUAGCAUGGCCCCUGUGCAAGCAUGACAUGCAAAUUCAUGAAGCAUUCCCUAUUUUU
rnacentral:snRNA from 1 species